CGUCUAUACGUUCAGGUAACACCAACGUGCCCGCGACCACUUACAGUCAACACAUAUAUCCACACAUCCUAAAAAUGUCUGGAAGAGAAGGAGGGAAAAAGAAGCCUUUGAAGGCUGCGAAGAAACAGCAACACGAAGCGGAUGAGGAAGAUUUAGCAUUCAAACAGAAACAAAGAGAAGAGCAAAAAGCUUUAGAAAAGGCAAAAAAAGAGGUAUCAGGAAAGAAAGGACCUAUGGGUGGUGCUGGCAUAAAGAAAUCAGGAAAGAAAUGACCCUGACAGAAUAGACAGACAAAAGCUAUUAGAAUCACCUAAAAACACACAUCAGAUCAUGGUUAUAUGAUAUACUUAUUACAUUGGAUGUUUUUAUCAUCAAUGGACUGUAUACAAAUUAUUAACUAUCAUGAAUGCACCAUUUAAAGUCAUGUUCUGUACUGUCAAUAUUAACUGAAUUUAUGUGUAAUUUUUAGGAACAUUUUAAAGAUUUUAAGGAUAAGUCAGGAGCAGAUUGAGAAAUGUAUGUAGCAGCAUUAGGAUAAUAUCAAAUUGAUAGAGUUUAUAAACUGCACACUAGCAUUUAAUUUUCUUCUUGGUUUUAGAAUUUCUUGUUCAUGUACCAGGUAUUUAUCAAUCCGGGCCAUUUUCAUGUCACUUUCAAGUUUUGUUUUGGAUGGUUGUAUAUGUGCAGAUAAAGAUAUGAUGAUUGGGUUGACAGAUAUAUAUCCCAAGACAUUUUUAUGCAUGCUUUUUUGCUGACAUUAUUCUGUAAUGUAGAUAAGUAACCUGUUUCCUCACUUCAUUAGAACUGUUUAUCUCUGUUUGUAAUUUUCUGCCUUGUUUGAUCCUGCUACAAAAAGUUUAUUGUGUUCAGUAGAUUUUUUAAUGUGGUUAUGGAUAUACAUUGUGCAAUACAUGUUGGGAUAUAAGUUUAAAUAAAGACAAGAAAUCUCCUAUCUUGACAUUUUGAUGCAAGUUAUUAUUCUUUAUCAGAUGCAAAAUGAAAUUGUUCUUUUGAAAGAGAUACUAACAUGACAUGGUAACCGAUAAAAAAUCAAAUUAUGA